UCGGGAGAAGGGGUGCUCUUUAGGGUUAACGCCCAGAAGAGCCGCAGUGAAUAGGCCCAAGCGACUGUUUAUCAAAAACACAGGUCUCUGCUAAACCGUAAGGUGAUGUAUAGGGGCUGACGCCUGCCCGGUGCUGGAAGGUUAAGAGGAGUGGUUAGCUUCUGCGAAGCUACGAAUCGAAGCCCCAGUAAACGGCGGCCGUAACUAUAACGGUCCUAAGGUAGCGAAAUUCCUUGUCGGGUAAGUUCCGACCCGCACGAAAGGCGUAACGAUUUGGGCACUGUCUCAACGAG
rnacentral:rRNA from 1 species